rnacentral:rRNA from 1 species
UGGGGAAUUUUCCGCAAUGGGCGCAAGCCUGACGGAGCAAGACCGCGUGGGGGAGGAAGGCUCUUGGGUUGUAAACCCCUUUUCUCAGGGAAGAACAAAUGACGGUACCUGGAGGAAUCAGCCUCGGCUAACU